rnacentral:rRNA from 1 species
CCUACGGGAGGCAGCAGUAGGGAAUCUUCCGCAAUGGACGAAAGUCUGACGGAGCAACGCCGCGUGAGCGAUGAAGGCCUUCGGGUCGUAAAGCUCUGUUGUCAGGGAAGAACAAGUACCGGAGUAACUGCCGGUACCUUGACGGUACCUGACCAGAAAGCCACGGCUAACUACGUGCCAGCAGCCGCGGUAAUACGUAGGUGGCAAGCGUUGUCCGGAAUUAUUGGGCGUAAAGCGCGCGCAGGCGGUUCCUUAAGUCUGAUGUGAAAGCCCCCGGCUCAACCGGGGAGGGUCAUUGGAAACUGGGGAACUUGAGUGCAGAAGAGGAGAGCGGAAUUCCACGUGUAGCGGUGAAAUGCGUAGAGAUGUGGAGGAACACCAGUGGCGAAGGCGGCUCUCUGGUCUGUAACUGACGCUGAGGCGCGAAAGCGUGGGGAGCGAACAGGAUUAGAUACCCUGGUAGUCCACGCCGUAAACGAUGAGUGCUAAGUGUUAGAGGGUUUCCGCCCUUUAGUGCUGCAGCAAACGCAUUAAGCACUCCGCCUGGGGAGUACGGCCGCAAGGCUGAAACUUAAAGGAAUUGACGG